rnacentral:rRNA from 1 species
CAGUCGCCACGGUAAUACGUAGGGUGCAAGCGUUAAUCGGAAUUACUGGGCGUAAAGCGUGCGCAGGCGGUUCGCUAAGACAGAUGUGAAAUCCCCGGGCUUAACCUGGGAACUGCAUUUGUGACUGGCGGGCUAGAGUAUGGCAGAGGGGGGGUAGAAUUUCACGUGUAGCAGUGAAAUGCGUAGAGAUGUGGAGGAGUACCGAUGGCGAAGGCAGCCCCCUGGGCCAAUACUGACGCUCAUGCACGAAAGCGUGGGGAGCAAACAGGAUUAGAUACCCGCGUAGUCCCUGUCUCUUAUU